GCAGAACUAGGGGAAAGGCUGCAGUUGCAGCCGGCCGGAUGGAGGUCAAAUAGUAGGAAGCAUUUACUGCCCGGGGCAGAGUGGUGCGGUCUCUAGCUUCCUCUUGCGGUUUGGUAGAAAGAGAACAGAAGCUGUUGAGUUGCCGUGUGACUUGGAACAGUUACUUGGAACAGUUUUUGAAAUGAACUGGUAGUUGAAGUAAAUGUUAAAUUUUGGAAUUAAGCCGGGUCACCUGCCCCAGUCUCUAAGUUGAGAUUUCUCCAUUCUGCGCCGCGUAUGCGCCAGCCACCUUGUCGGUUCCUCACAGGUCUCCUUGGAGGACUGGGUUCUCCAGCCCUUGACUCUAAGACAUCUCUUCCCAGCAUUGGACAUCUCUUUUCCGGAUAUGUGACCUCAGGCCUUAAAGAAAGCUGCUGCAGCUCCAGGCGUCACGUCUUCCCACCAGUGACCCAAGCAGAAAGGAAGGGAGCAAUGAGGGCUUUCUUCUGUUGACGCUCCAUCCCCAGUGAAGGAAGGAGAGCUGUCAUCAGAAUCCUUCCCCUGGGGCUUCCCUGGUGGCGCAGUGGUUAAGAAUCCGCCUGCCAAUGCAGGGGACACGGGUUCGAGCCCUGGUGCGGGAAGAUCCCACAUGCUGCAGAGCAACUAAGCCUGUGCACCGCAACUACUGAGCUUGCACUCAAGAGCCCGCGAGCCACAACUACUGAGCCUGUGCACCUAGAGCCUGUGCUCCACAACAAGAGAAGCCACCACAAUGAGAAGCCCGUGCAGCGCAAUGAAGAGUAGCCCCCACUCGCCGCAACUAGACAAAGCUCGCACACAGCAACAAAGACCCAAUGUAGCCCAAAAUAAAUAGAUAAAAUAAAGAUUAUAAGAGAAUAUUAUGAACAACUUUGUACAAAUAGUUAGAAAACAUCGAUUAAAUAGAUAAUUUAAAAAUACAACUCACUAAAACCGAUUCAAGAAUUUUAGUGAGAUUUAAAAAAAGAACCCGCCUGCCAGUGCAGAGGACACAGGUUUGAGCCCUGGUCCAGGAAGAUCCCACAUGCCGUGGAGCAACUAGGCCCAUGCGCCACAGCUACCGGGCCUGUGCUCUAGAGCCUGCGAGCCACAACUACUUAAGCCCAACGUGCCACAACUACUGAGCCUGCAUGCCACAACUACCAAAGCCCAUACGCCUAGAGCCCAUGCUCCACAACAAGAGAAGCCAUGACAAUGAGAAGCCCGCACACUGCAAUGAAGAGUAGCCCCCGCUCACUGUAACUAGAGAAAGGCCGCACACAGCAAUGAAGACCCAACACGGCCAAAAAUAAAUAAAUUAAUUAAUUUUAAAAAAAGAAAAAAAAGAAU